AUAAUAAAUUGUCUUUUAAUUGAAGAAUUGUAUGAAAGAAUUAAUGAAAUAAUAACUGUCUCUAAAUUAUUAAAUGAAUUUAAAUUUUUAGUUAAAAUUCUAAAAUUUAAUUAUGGGACGAUAAGACCCUAUAGAAUUUAAUUUAAUUUUUAAAUUUAUUUAUAAUUUUAAUAAAUAUAUUUAAGAUUAAAUUUGAUUGGGAGGAUUGGUAAAUUUAAUAAACUUUAUUUAAGAUUUAAUUUUGAUAUAAAGAUAAUUUUUUGAAUUAUAAAUUGUAAUUAAAAGAAUAAAUUACCUUA
rnacentral:rRNA from 1 species